UAUUGUUUUUUAUAAUAGGUUUUUUCUGCCCGGUGUUUAUAUAAACGGCCGGGUACUCUGACCGUGCAAAGGUAGCAUAAUCAUUUGUUCUUUAAUUGGGGACUUGUAUGAAGGAAAGUUUGAGGCUUUUUCUGUCUCUUUUUUGGUUUAAAAUUUGCUGUUUGUGUGAAGAAGCACAAGUUUAUAAAAAAGCAAGAAGACCCUUUUAAGCUUUAUUUUUUUCUCUUGUGUUUUAUUCUUUAUAAGUAGCCGAAUGUGAGAUUAAAAAUUUAGUUGGGGUGACUAAAGAAGAUAAGAUCUCUUGGUUAAAAAAAACUAUGUGUUUAAUAAAGACCCAGAAUUGUGCUGGUUGAAAGAAUUAGUUACUAAAGGGAUAACAGCGUAAUCUUUUCAGAGAGUUCUAUUGAAGAAAAGGAUUGCGACCUCGAUGUUGACUUGCUUUUUCCUUUUAAGGUGCAGACGCUAAAAGGGUUGGUCUGUUCGACCAUUAAAAUAGU
rnacentral:rRNA from 1 species